rnacentral:lncRNA from 1 species
AUGCCGCCAACGUUUGACCUCAACGAGAUUAAAGUCGUGUACCUUUUGCACUGGUGCACCAGUGGGAAAGUCAGUGCCGUGUCUGCCCUGGCCCCCAAGAUUGGCUCCCUGGGUCUGUCUCCAAAAACGGUGAUGUCAUCACCAAGGCAACUGGUGAUUGGAAGGGUCCGAGUAUUACACUGAAACUGACCAUUCAGAACAGACAGGCCCAGAUUAAGGUGGUACCUUCUGCUUCUGUCCUGAUCAUCAAAGCCCUCAAGGAACCACCAAGAGACAGAAAGAAGCAGCAAAACAUUAAGCACAGUGGAACCAUCACUUUUGAUGAGAUCGUCAACACUGCCCAGCAGAUGCAGCAUCAGUCUCUAGCUAGAGAACUCUCUGGAACCAUUAAAGAGAUCACCCAGCCUGUGGGCUGCAAUGUUGAUGGCCGCCACCCUCAUGACAUCAUAGAUGGCAUCAACAGUGGUGCUGUGGAGUGCCCAGCUAGUUAA